UUUUCAGAGAUGAGAAUGUGCCUUCGGGAACCGUGAGACAGGUGCUGCAUGGCUGUCGUCAGCUCGUGUUGUGAAAUGUUGGGUUAAGUCCCGCAACGAGCGCAACCCUUAUCCUUUGUUGCCAGCGAUUCGGUCGGGAACUCAAAGGAGACUGCCAGUGAUAAACUGGAGGAAGGUGGGGAUGACGUCAAGUCAUCAUGGCCCUUACGACCAGGGCUACACACGUGCUACAAUGGCGCAUACAAAGAGAAGCGACCUCGCGAGAGCAAGCGGACCUCAUAAAGUGCGUCGUAGUCCGGAUUGGAGUCUGCAACUCGACUCCAUGAAGUCGGAAUCGCUAGUAAUCGUGGAUCAGAAUGCCACGGUGAAUACGUUCCCGGGCCUUGUACACACCGCCCGUCACACCAUGGGAGUGGGUUGCAAAAGAAGUAGGUAGCUUAACCUUCGGGAGGGCGCUUACCACUUUGUGAUUCAUGACUGGGGUGAAGUCGUAACAAGGUAACCGUAGGGGAACCUGCGGUUGGAUCACCUCCUUACCUUAAAGAA
rnacentral:rRNA from 1 species